GUUCCUCAUCAUGAUGAUAAUGGACUGAACCUCUGAAACUGAUGUGGUGCCAUAAGUUGUUGCACCUACAAAGCAGGCUCCAGAAUUUGAUGAAGAGAGGAGACAUAGGUCAAGCUCUUCAUCUGUCCAACUUUAAAAGUUUAUUUUCAUUAUCCAUCCAUUGGUGCCAUACAGCUUCCAAGUCUGUGAAUUGUACUUGGCACCAACGUGAAGAUCAUUUGGAACUGCAAUAUGCUAGCACUGUGAUGCGCUUUGAUUAUGUCUGGCUUCGAGACCACUGCCGCUCAGCAUCAUGCUAUAAUUCUAAGACUCACCAGCGGAGCCUGGACACUGCCAGUGUGGAUUUAUGUAUCAAACCAAAGACCAUUCGUCUUGAUAAAACCACACUCUUUUU